CCACGUGAUUACGUUGUGCAGCUGAGUCACGUGACCGCACAGGAAAAACACAGCAGAGCUGGGUAAAGGGGGUGGAGCAAAGUGUGUGUGCAGGAGAGGAGUCGGGCAGAGAGAGCUUCCUUUUCGUGAAACGGGAGUAAAGUCGCAAACGUAAAGGAUCAUAUACAACUACCUACUUUUCAAUCGAUAUCUGCAUCGAUCUACUCACCGUUGUCUCCUGGAUUGUAGCUGAGAUCAGCGCGAACCACGUGUGUCUCAGCUUCCUGAUCUGUUAACUGUGUUUGGAAAGGCUUCUAGCUUAAUCACAGAGUUCUCUCGUUCGUGGGCUCAUCUAAAGGAGGAGAAGAGUGGUGGUGCAGCAGAGGAUCAAUUUCAGCAAUUUGGACUCAGCUCAGCCACUGCAGAGGAAACAAUGACUUCAACACAAAAGGACCAACAUGGAGCGAGAAGUCAGCGCCGCAGGGGAGGCCGACAAACGUCACAGAAGAAAGAGAGAAAACAUACAGCUGUGACGAGUGUGGGAAGGGUUUUACCUCGGCUCAAGGCCUAAAAACACACCAACUCAUCCACAGUGGAGUUAAACCUUACAGUUGUGAUGAGUGUGGCAAGGAUUUUAACCAGGCUGGCAACCUAAAAUCACACCAACUCACCCACAGUGGAGUUAAAGCAUACAGCUGUGAUGAGUGUGGAAGGUCUUUUGUCCAGGCUGGAAGCUUAAAGAAACACCAACUCAUCCACAGUGGAGUUAAACCUUACAGUUGUGACUUGUGUGGAGGGUCUUUUGUCCAGGCUGGAAGCUUAAAGAAACACCAACUCAUCCACAGUGGAGUUAAACCUUACAGUUGUGAUGAGUGUGGGAAGGAUUUUAGCCAGGCUAGCGGCCUAAAAUCACACCAACUCAUCCACAGUGGAGUUAAAGCAUACAGCUGUGAUGAGUGUGGAAGGUCUUUUGCCCGGGCUCGAGAAUUAAAACAACACCAUCUCAUCCACAGUGGAGUUAAACCUUACAGCUGUGACUUGUGUGGAAAGUCUUUUACCCGGUCUGGAGACUUAAAAAAUCACCAUGUCAUCCACAGUGGUUUUAAACCUUACAUCUGUGAUUUGUGUGGAAAGUGUUUUGCCUGGGCUAAAGGCUUAAAAAACCACCAACUCAUCCACAGUUGAGUUAAAGUGGACAGCUGUGAGUUAUAUGGAAUUUUUUUUGCCCAGGUUGGAGGCUUAAAAAUACACCAACUCAUCCACAGUGGAGUUAAAGCGUACAGCUGUGACUUGUGUGGAAAGUCUUUUACAUAUUGUGAGGGCUUAAAAAAACACCAACUCAUUCACAGCGUAGUUAAAGCACACUACUGUGAGUUGUGUGGUAAAGCUUUUGCUCAAAGUCGAAACUUACAGAAGCAUCUACUUACCCACUCUGGAAUUCAGUGACAAACAGUACCAAAAUAUUCACCUGCAGAUUCACACUGGAAAUGAUGUUUCCUGCUGUGAUCAGUGUGGGAAACUAUUUACAACAGAUGCACAGUUA